GUCAGGGCGUGCUCAGUUGGGGCUCUGUCCGGGGUUCUUUGGCUGCUGUUCCAUUUCGACGGUUCUGAUCACAGUUUUGGUUUCGAUAAAAGAGGAGGAGAACCUAGCUUGUGCAGCCGUGAAGGUUUAGAAGCAAAUACAACAAGAGAGGAAGACGACUAAUUUCCGGGUGUCAACGGUGAUAUCAUUUUAUUAUUUUUUUUUCUUAUAAUUUAUUUUUAUGGGUUUUGAGAAAUUCAUAAUCAUGUGUUGCUACAUCUUGUAAUCAGGGGUGAUGGAGAAAACUACUUUAAAACAUAAACCAUUAUGAAUUAAAUUAGAACUAAUUUGGUAUUAGGUUAUGUGAAUUGAAUUAUCGAAAUCCAAUUAUUAUGGUUUAUUGAUUUUAUGAAGAAUAUAUAUAUAUAUAUAUAUAUAUUCCUGAAUAGUGUUCCAAUUUUGUUUGUUAUAGUAUUUGAUAAUGUCAUGCUUAGACGACACAAAUAAUAACUGUAAACCUAAAAAUUAUAUUUCAUAAUUUCCAUGUCAUUAUAUUCGAUAGUCCAUGCUUUGGAGACUCUGAUGGGUUAUGCUUAGGAGAUGCAUAUUUGUUAUCGAAAUACAUAAUUUUGGAAUUUGAAUUCUUUUCGGUGCAGAAUUAUAAAUAGUAGUGGAAUCCAUAGACCCUGGUUACCGUCUCUCUUAUUAGAUUUUGGUUAGCUUAGUCAUUAUUUUCUUCUUUGAGUUAAUUUUUAUAAAACCCAAAAAUUUUCUCCUUGGUUAGUUUUAUUAGAGAGUUUGAUUACUGUAUUUUCCACCGCUCCCUGUGUGUUCGACCCUUUCUUGCCGCUAUCUACUAGUUAGACGUCGUGCGAUUGCGGUUAUCACAUAUAGGAUAAUCCCAUAUCUUAUCAAUUUUUGGCGCCGUUGUCGGGGAGCGGUUGUGGAAUAUUGUAAUUAGUAUUUUUGAUUUUGUAAACAGUUAGAUUUUUAUUUUAUUUUAUUUUAUUUUUGUACGGUAAUUUUAUUUCGUUUUAGGAUUUUUUUUUUAACUCCUUUUGUGUGUUAGAAUUUUACUUCAGGAGUCAUUUUGAGGAUGCUGAAUUGUUCGCACGAGAGGUCAUCUAAGAUGGCGCUUGCAGAAUAUAAACGUAGAAGUUCACAUUCUCAGGAGAGUCUUCUGAUAUGACGCUUGGGGAGUAUAUGUAUUGGUCACGUCAUAAGGAAGUUUUUGCUCCACAAAUGGUAAGUGAAGAAUCACCUUUAAAAAUAUAUGAGAAGUAUUAUAAACAUACACCACUUAGUUUGGAGCAAAGGUUGAGAGUUUUAGCAUGCCUAGACUUAUAUGCAGAUGAUGACUUAGAGGAACCUGUUUAUUUAGAUGAUAUUAUUGUUGAGUCUAACGACUUAGAGACGGUAGACAUUCAUGAUGAGGUAUCAUCUAGUAAUUUGAAUUGUGAGAUUCCUAUAGGUCACUUGGCUACAUAUGAUAAUGAGUCGAUUAUUCAUGAUAUUGUUACUCCAUUGAGCCCUUGUUUUGUUGACUCAUCUUAUGAUUUCCUGAUUGUUCAUGUGAAUACGGGGGCGAUUUGUAAUGGUCAGGUAACUGAUGAUUUUGAACCAAUCUUAAUUUGUUUAGCCCACUUUGAAGAUUCUGAUGAUCCUAUGAUUAUUCACAAUGUCCAUGCAUUGUGCCCUAUGAUUUCUAGUGAAGUUAAUGUAUCGAACGAAUGUAUUUCGGCUGAUUUAGAACCUGAUUUAGAGUGUGCUUCCCGAAUACAAACUAAUAUACAUUCUAUGUUUGUUUUCCAUGUAAGUGAUUUAUUUAUCUCGACUAAGGAAUGUUUUCUUUUGAGAAUGGAUUUACACAUCUUUUUGAAAGUUUAUAGUGUUUGCAGGUUCAUAUUCACAGCUGCCUUGAUUUGUUGGAUUGAUCCCCAACUUUUCAGACUUUAUAUAUAUAUAUGCUUUGCAGCCUAUUUUGGUGUAUCAUCACCUUAUUUGAUAUUCCUUGCGUGCACAAACAACGGUACAACGAUUAUGCUUUAUGAGAGUCAACCCAUACAAUUUCGCUUCAUGGGAGUUAACCCAUCAUAUUUGUAUUAUUUCCUCUAUCUUUUAUUUGUUUGCUUGAAUUUCUCAUCUUAAUUUCUACGUUGGAUGACUCAAUUACAUUGAGGACAAUGUGAUGUUUAAGUGUGGGGGAGUGACAUUUUCAUAAGGAUUUUUUAAUUUAAAAAAAAAUUGCUUUAUUUUUGUAGCUUUUCAUUUUAAAAAAAGAUAUGCAUUUUCUUAUUAAAAAAUUAUUUUUAGAGUACUUUCUAUGACCAACUGUUUAGCGGGUCUUUCUGUCUAGCUGUUUAGCAGAUAUCUCUCGAUCUUGCUGUUUAGGGGAUCUGUCUCGCUGUUUAGAAGACAUCUCUCAAUUUUGUUGUUUAGCGGAUCUGUCUCGCUGUUUAGCAGACAUCUUUCUGUCUAGCUGUUUAGCAGACAUUUCUCAACCACUGUUUAGUGAUUCCGUUUAGCUGUUUAGCAGACAUAUCUCCAUAUCCAAUUGUGGAGCAGUGCUUUUGUAGAAGGUACAAGCGAGUACGAUCACCCGGUGAAUAAACGGAAAAAUAGAAGCUGAAAUGGUAUUUGCCGGAAAAACACAGUGAUGCAAUCCAUACCACCAAAGAAGGGGAGUCGAUUUACCAUUGGUCUAUCAAUAACCAACCUACUAUGUUGUCAGCACCACUAAAAAUCUCAUGGCAGAAGAUUAUUUUAUUUAAUUAAUGAGACAGGGCAUUACUUCACUAAACAAAAAAAGAAGUUGUUGCCUUUCUAUUCUAUACUUGCAUCCACAUUUACUAGUGAACUGAUGAAAGUGGAAAUAAAAAAAAUUGAGAUAUUCAUUGGCACGAAAGAAAGGCAAGUGGUUAGAGAAGGGAUCUUCCUGUGUCACCGCAAUAACUAUCAGUGGAUAAGCGAUAUUUGGAGAAUCAUACGAUUAUGAGAAGGAUAAAGAGAGUUGGUGGAGCCAAUAAAGUGGAAAUGAUUCGACACACGGCGUUCCAUCAUUGUUCCAUUGACGUGGAGGAUAAUUCAAGAAAAGGGAAAGUUGGGUUUUAAAGUCUACAUUUAAAUACAACAGAGGUGAGACAAUGAGGACGUGCUCGGUUGGGGGUCCGUCUGGGGUUCUUUGGCUCGUGUUCCAUUUCGACGGUUCUGGUCACAGUUUUGUUUCGAUAACAGAGAGGAGGAGAAGCUAGCUUGUUCAGCCGUGAAGGUGUAGGAGCAAAUACAACGAGAGAGGAAGACGACUAACUGUCCGGUGUCAACGGUGAUAUCAGUUUAUUAUUUUUUUUUCUUGUAAUUUAUUUUUAUGGAUUUUGAGAAAUCCAUAGUUAUGUGUUGUUAGAUCUUGUAACUAGGGGUGAUGCAGAAAACUACUUUAAAGCAUAGACCAUUAUGAAUUAAAUUGGUAGUAAUUUGGUAUUAGGCUA